rnacentral:lncRNA from 1 species
GGGCCGGCAUGAUGAGCUCCUUGGGCAGCCCGGUGCGGGCCUACGAUUUUUUACUUAAGUUCCUGUUGGUGGGCGACAGCGACGUGGGCAAGGGAGAGAUCCUGGCCAGCUUGCAGGACGGAGCAGCCGAAUCUCCUUACGGCCACCCGGCGGGUGUGUGUGUGUGUGAGAGAGAGAGAGAGAGAGAGAGACAGAGACAGAGACAGAGACAGAGAGACAGACAGACAGACAGACAGACAGACAGACAGACAGAAAUGCAUAGUAUUUAACAGAGGACUGGUAGCUUCUCCCAGGGCCUGACAUCCAGACUCUGUGGAGGUGCUAUAGAUGAGCCACAGACCCUUGUCAGGUGCCAGGAUCUAAGCAGGCAUAGCACCACGGCAAGGCAAAGGCCUCAUCAAAGCAUCAGGGAUUCUGAAAAAGGAAUUGAUCACAAGACGACCACCAUCCUGCUAGAUGGCCGAAGGGUGAAACUGCAGCUUUGGGACACCUCCGGGCAAGGGAGAUUUUGUACCAUAUUCCGCUCGUACUCCAGAGGUGCACAGGGUGUGAUCCUGGUCUAUGACAUUGCCAACCGAUGGUCCUUUGAUGGCAUUAAUCGGUGGAUUAAGGAGAUUGAUGAGCAUGCCCCUGGGGUUCCUAAAAUCUUGGUGGGAAACCGGCUACACCUGGCAUUCAAGCGGCA